rnacentral:scRNA from 1 species
GUUUUUAUUAUGGGGUUUUU